rnacentral:rRNA from 1 species
UACGUAGGUGGCAAGCGUUGUCCGGAAUUAUUGGGCGUAAAGCGCGCGCAGGCGGCCUUUUAAGUCUGAUGUGAAAGCCCACGGCUCAACCGUGGAAGGUCAUUGGAAACUGGGGGACUUGAGUACAGAAGAGAAGAGUGGAAUUCCACGUGUAGCGGUGAAAUGCGUAGAGAUGUGGAGGAACACCAGUGGCGAAGGCGACUCUUUGGUCUGUAACUGACGCUGAGGCGCGAAAGCGUGGGGAGCAAACAGG